AGCUAAUAGAUACCCGGGUAGUCCACGCUGUAAACGAUGAUGACUAGCUGUCUGGGCGCUUAGCGUUCAGGUGGCGCAGCUAACGCGUUAAGUCAUCCGCCUGGGGAGUACGGCUGCAAGGUUAAAACUCAAAGAAAUUGACGGGGGCCUGCACAAGCGGUGGAGCAUGUGGUUUAAUUCGAAGCAACGCGCAGAACCUUACCAGCGUUUGACAUGCCAGGACGGUUUUCCAGAGAUGGAUUCCUUCCCUUACGGGACCUGGACACAGGUGCUGCAUGGCUGUCGUCAGCUCGUGUCGUGA
rnacentral:rRNA from 1 species